rnacentral:rRNA from 1 species
GACGAACGCUGGCGGCGUGCCUAAUACAUGCAAGUCGAACGCUGAAGGAGGAGCUUGCUUCUCUGGAUGAGUUGCGAACGGGUGAGUAACGCGUAGGUAACCUGCCUGGUAGCGGGGGAUAACUAUUGGAAACGAUAGCUAAUACCGCAUAAGAGUAGAUGUUGCAUGACAUUUACUUAAAAGGUGCAAUUGCAUCAUUACCAGAUGGACCUGCGUUGUAUUAGCUAGUUGGUGAGGUAACGGCUCACCAAGGCAACGAUACAUAGCCGACCUGAGAGGGGGAUCGGCCACACUGGGACUGAGACACGGCCCAGACUCCUACGGGGAGCAGCAGUAGGGGAUCUUCGGCAAUGGACGGAAGUCUGACCGGGCAACGCCGCGUGGGUGAAGAAGGGUUUCGGAUCGUAAAGCUCUGUUGUAAGGGAAGAACGAGUGUGAGAGUGGAAAGUUCACACUGUGACGGUAUCUUACCAGAAAGGGACGGCUAACUACGUG